UUUCGCAAUGCCCGAAAGGGUGACGAAGCGACGCCGCGUGCGGGAAGAAGGCCUUCGGGUUGUAAACCGCUGUCGGGAGUUAAGAAAUGUAAGGAUGUUAAUAGCGUCUUUACUUGACUAAGGCUCCGGAGGAAGCCACGGCUAACUCUGUGCCAGCAGCCGCGGUAAUACAGAGGCGGCAAGCGUUGUUCGGAAUUAUUGGGCGUAAAGAGCACGUAGGCGGCUAUGUAAGUCGGUUGUGAAAGCCUUCCGCUCAACGGGAGAACGGCAUCCGAUACUGCAUGGCUUGAGUGCGGGAGGGGAGAGUGGAACUUCUGGUGGAGCGGUGAAAUGCGUAGAUAUCAGAAGGAACACCGGCGGCGAAAGCGACUCUCUGGCCCGUAACUGACGCUGAGUGUGCGAAAGCUAGGGGAGCAAACGGGAUUAGAUACCCCGGUAGUCCUAGCCGUAAACGAUGGGCACUAAGUAGAGGGGUUUUA
rnacentral:rRNA from 1 species